rnacentral:lncRNA from 1 species
CAGGGUUUUGUCGAGUAUUUUUUAUUAACAGAUAUGAGAGAAUGGAGUCUUUGCUCAAGAGCUAAAGCAUCCAGGCAAAAUCUGAAGGACCUUUGCUGUUGAUGCCUGUAAGAAAUUUUCCACCAGAGACAGCAAAACAACAAAACUGACACAGAUAAUAUUGCUAAAGGUAGAGAGGUGGGAAGGAAACAGAGCCCUGAAAAUAAAGUCUUUCACAAGUCAUUAGACCCCAACCAAGUGGCAAAAGCAUAGAAACCACUUUUUCCCACUUUUCCUUUGUGUCCCAUAUAAUACUAGGUGUAAAACUGACACCUGAACAACAGCAGAUACAUCUGCAUGCCAGUUGAUUAUCACAUGUGUUUUGCCUUUAGUGUGCUAUCAGUGGACCUGCGGUAAUAAAGCAGGAACGACUUAAGCUUUCAUAAACCUACCCUCCAGGCUUUUCUGUUUGCUUUUUCAACUUCUGCUGCCUUUUCACUGAGGUGCAGCACUGCCACUUGUAAUUCCCCCAGGGUAUGCUAGAUAAAUACAUGGCUUAUUUAAGAAGCCUUACCAUUCAUUCAGAGCAGAUGAAAGCUUCCUCCCAGCUGGAAGGUGUUUGUGGCAGCCCAGUGCCCAGCCUCCCUCCCUGCCGUUCAGAGGUUGGCUGGAUGGAAGACCUGCACCUUGGGUGAAGGUACUUGGAAGAGCAGCUGUGGCUCUGUGCUUUCUCAGUAGGUAUUUUAAAACAACCUUUUAUCUGUUUGCUUCUAACAAAUUCUUGCCUUUAUUAUUAUUAUUAUUAUUAUUAUUAUUAUUAUUAUUAUUAUUAUCACAUUAUCAGUCCCUGGGUGCUUUUCUUUUUCUGUGAUAAGUCUAAACAAAGCAAAUGAAAUGAUCCUCAGACCUUCUCACCUCAAAUCCUUUCACUCAAAUGACCUCAGGUGGCUUUCCUCAUCCUCAAAUAUCCUGGAAUAAUGUGUUAUUGUGCCCUGACUCUCAUUAUAUUUGUUGAUUUUCCUUACAGCUCAAGCUACUGGAGAAUCUCAGGUUCCAUUUAAAAUAUUUUUGAAGUAGAUAAGUGCUUUCAGAGAACAGUCUGAAAGCACAAUUUGAGCACAAGCUAGAAGAUCAGCAGCCAGGACUCAGAGCACAGUCACACACAGCUUUUGGUUAUUAAGACACACUUUGCAGCUGUCUCUUUGCUUUCAAACACCCUGUCAGAUCAGCCAUCCCCUCCCUGCCCUGUGCUUUGAGAA